rnacentral:piRNA from 1 species
UACUUUGAGUAGCUGUGUAAGGGAACUUCA